AUACGUAGGGGGCAAGCGUUAUCCGGCUUUACUGGGCGUAAAGGGAGCGUAGACGGUGUGACAAGUCUGAUGUGAAAACCCGGGGCUCAACUCCGGGAUUGCAUUGGAAACUGCCAUACUUGAGUGCAGGAGAGGUAAGCGGAAUUCCUAGUGUAGCGGUGAAAUGCGUAGAUAUUAGGAGGAACACCGGCGGCGAAGGCGGCUUACUGGACUGUAACUGACGUUGAGGCUCGAAAGCGUGGGGAGCAAACAGGAUUAGAUACCCUGGUAGUCCACGCGGUAAACGAUGAAUACUAGGUGUUGGGGGUCUAUAGACCCUCGGUGCCGCAGCAAACGCAAUAAGUAUUCCACCUGGGGAGUACGUUCGCAAGAAUGAAACUCAAAGGAAUUGACGGGG
rnacentral:rRNA from 1 species